rnacentral:rRNA from 1 species
GGUGGCAAGCGUUGUCCGGAUUUAUUGGGCGUAAAGCGAGCGCAGGCGGAAUGAUAAGUCUGAUGUGAAAGCCCACGGCUCAACCGUGGAACUGCAUCGGAAACUGUCAUUCUUGAGUGCAGAAGAGGAGAGUGGAACUCCAUGUGUAGCGGUGGAAUGCGUAGAUAUAUGGAAGAACACCAGUGGCGAAGGCGGCUCUCUGGUCUGCAACUGACGCUGAGGCUCGAAAGCAUGGGUAGCGAACAGGAUUAGAUACCCUGGUAGUCCAUGCCGUAAACGAUGAGCGCUAGGUGUUGGGGACUUUCCGGUCCUCAGUGCCGCAGCAAACGCAUUAAGCGCUCCGCCUGGGGAGUACGACCGCAAGGUUGAAACUCAAAGGAAUUGACGGGGGCCCGCACAAGCGGUGGAGCAUGUGGUUUAAUUCGAAGCAACGCGAAGAACCUUACCAGGUCUUGACAUCCUGCGCUACACCUAGAGAUAGGUGGUUCCCUUCGGGGACGCAGAGACAGGUGGUGCAUGGCUGUCGUCAGCUCGUGUCGUGAGAUGUUGGGUUAAGUCCCGCAACGAGCGCAACCCUUGUCUUUAGUUGCCAUCAUUAAGUUGGGCACUCUAAAGAGACUGCCGGUGACAAACCGGAGGAAGGUGGGGAUGACGUCAAGUCAUCAUGCCCCUUAUGACCUGGGCUACACACGUGCUACAAUGGGCAGUACAACGAGAAGCAAACCCGCGAGGGUAAGCGGAUCUCUUAAAGCUGUUCUCAGUUCGGACUGCAGGCUGCAACUCGCCUGCACGAAGCUGGAAUCGCUAGUAAUCGCGGAUCAGCACGCCGCGGUGAAUACGUUCCCGGGC